CGGGACGGGUGAGUAAUGUCUGGGAAACUGCCCGAUGGAGGGGAUAACUACUGGAAACGGUAGCUAAUACCGCAUAACGUCGCAAGACCAAAGAGGGGGACCUUAGGGCCUCUUGCCAUCGGAUGUGCCCAGAUGGGAUUAGCUAGUAGGUGGGGUAAUGGCUCACCUAGGCGACGAUCCCUAGCUGGUCUGAGAGGAUGACCAGCCACACUGGAACUGAGACACGGUCCAG
rnacentral:rRNA from 1 species